rnacentral:rRNA from 1 species
GUGGGGAAUCUUGCACAAUGGACGAAAGUCUGAUGCAGCAACGCCGCGUGGGGGAUGAAGCUUCUCGGAGUGUAAACCCCUUUCGACCCGGAAGAAUGCCCGCAAGGGUAUGACGGUACGGGUAUAAGAAGCCCCGGCUAACUACGUGCCAGCAGCCGCGGUAAUACGUAGGGGGCCAGCGUUGCUCGGAAUUACUGGGCGUAAAGGGUCCGUAGGCGGUGUAGCAAGUCGAUAGUGAAAUCUCUGGGCUUAACCCAGAGGCUGCUAACGAAACUGCUGUGCUAGAGUGUGAGAGAGGCGAGUGGAAUUACGGGUGUAGCGGUGAAAUGCGUAGAUAUCCGUAGGAACAUCCGAGGCGAAGGCGGCUCGCUGGAUCACAACUGACGCUGAGGGACGAAAGCUAGGGGAGCAAACAGGAUUAGAAACCCUUGUAGUCC